rnacentral:rRNA from 1 species
AGAACGACUCUCGGCAACGGAUAUCUCGGCUCUCGCAUCGAUGAAGAACGUAGCGAAAUGCGAUACUUGGUGUGAAUUGCAGAAUCCCGUGAACCAUCGAGUCUUUGAACGCAAGUUGCGCCCCAAGCCUUCGGGCCGAGGGCACGUCUGCCUGGGUGUCACGC